UAUAAAAACCUUCAAAACACGCAGGACGAGCAUAUAUUAGUCGAUAUUAUUACGAUAAUACCUUCUACGCGAGUAGUAGGACUAGAGCGUUUGGCCAGGAAACGUUACCUGUUUACGAAUAUCUCUGAUUUGUUAUUGACCGUUUUGUGAGGCACUCCUGCUCUAAACGUGUCCUCGGUCAGUUUUUCAGACGGCGCCACGGCGCCAUUGACGUAAAACUUUGUUCUCAACAUUUGUCCGAAUUAAACACUUAUACAGAAAUAUUAUUAAAAACUUAUUUUUAUUCUUUUUUAUAAAAACGUAGUUUGUUUACUAGUUAUCAAAUAGUUUUCAUGCGACUUAAUAUAUCUACUAGAUAUGCAUUAUGUAUGACCAAGUAGGUGCGCAAAAUAAUAAACUAUGAGAAUAGGCAUGUACAUAAAAUAAAUAAAAUAAUGUAUUUUUAUAUUUUUAUGACACUUCAUCGUAGUCGAAACUGUAAACAGUUGUAAAAAUUAAACAGUUUGUAGCAACUUUUUUUAUUAUUCUUUAAAUAAUUCAAUAGUUAUAGAACGUAUUAUGAAUUAAUGAUAUCGUAUUGCUUAUAUUAAAAUCUGCACAUAAUAAAAAUAGAACUCAUCGUUGUUAAUAUAAUGUACUUAUAUCCUUUGCAUUGCUAUAAGUCUUAAUAGUCUUAUAAUACUAAAACAAAUAUAAUAAUUAUAAGUAA